rnacentral:rRNA from 1 species
AUGAUAGAAAUUUAAACCCUUUUUAAAGUAUCAAUUGGAGGGCAAGUCUGGUGCCAGCAGCCGCGGUAAUUCCAGCUCCAAUAGCGUAUAUUAAAAUUGUUGCAGUUAAAAAGCUCGUAGUUGAAGUUCUGCUGAAAGUAACCGGUCUGCUUUUAAUAAAAGUGGUAUCUUGGUAUGUAUUUAGCAAUGAUGUCCUUUGAAGUGUUUUUUACUUUAUUGUAAUAAAGCAUAUUCAGGACUUUUACUUUGAGAAAAUUAGAGUGUUUCUAGCAGGCUGACGCUUUGAAUACUGCAGCAUGGAAUAAUAAGAUAGGAUUUUAGUUCUACAUUAUUGGUUUUAA